AGAGUUUGAUCCUGGCUCAGAACGAACGCUGGCGGCGUGGAUAAGACAUGCAAGUCGAACGGGAUUACUUCUGUAGCAAUACAGGGGUGAUUCAGUGGCGAACGGGUGCGUAACACGUGGGCAAUCUGCCUUAAAGUGGGGGAUAGCUCGGCGAAAGCCGAAUUAAUACCGCAUGUGAUCAGGGAAGACAUCUUUCCGAAAUCAAAGUUGGUGCAAGCUAACGCUUUUUGAGGAGCCCGCGGCCUAUCAGCUAGUUGGUGAGGUAACGGCUCACCAAGGCUUUGACGGGUAGCUGGUCUGAGAGGACGACCAGCCACACUGGAACUGAGACACGGUCCAGACACCUACGGGUGGCAACAGUCGAGAAUUUUUCUCAAUGGGGGAAACCCUGAAGGAGCGACGCCGCGUGGAGGAUGAAGGCUUUCGGGUUGUAAACUCCUGUCAUUUGAGAACAAGGUGCGCGAAGUAACUACUCGCGCAUUGAUAGUAUCAGAAGAGGAAGGGACGGCUAACUCUGUGCCAGCAGCCGCGGUAAUACAGAGGUCCCAAGCGUUGUUCGGAUUCAUUGGGCGUAAAGGGUGCGUAGGUGGCGCGCUAAGUCAGGUGUGAAAUUUCGGAGCUUAACUCCGAAACUGCAUUUGAUACUGGCGUGCUUGAGGACUGGAGAGGAGACUGGAAUUCACGGUGUAGCAGUGAAAUGCGUAGAUAUCGUGAGGAAGACCAGUGGCGAAGGCGGGUCUCUGGACAGUUCCUGACACUGAGGCACGAAGGCCACGGGAGCAAACGGGAUUAGAUACCCCGGUAGUCC
rnacentral:rRNA from 1 species